GGUUCCAUAGUGUAGUGGUUAGCACAUCUGCUUUACACACAGAAGGGCCUGGGUUUGUGCCCUAGUGGAGCUA
rnacentral:tRNA from 1 species